rnacentral:rRNA from 1 species
GACGAACGCUGGCGGCGUGCUUAACACAUGCAAGUCGAGCGGUAAGGCCCUUUCGGGGGUACGACGAGCGGCGAACGGGUGGAGUAACACGUGGGUGGACCUGCCCUCCAGCUCUGGGAUAAGCCUGGGAAACGUGGGUCGUAAUACCGGAUAUGACUCCAUGACGGCAUGUUGUGGGGUGGAAAGCCUUGUGCGGCUGAGGAUGGGCCCGCGGCCUAUCAGCUUGUUGGUGGGGNGAUGGCCUACCAAGGCGACGACGGGUAGCCGGCCUGAGAGGGCGACCGG